rnacentral:rRNA from 1 species
CCCUUAGAUGUCCUGGGCUGCACGCGCGCUACACUGAUGUGUCCAGUAAGCACCUAACCUCUUCCGAAAGGAACGGGUAACCUUUGCAAAGCACAUCGUGAUGGGGACAGAUUAUUGCAAUUAUUAGUCUUGAACGAGGAAUUCCUAGUAAGCACAAGUCAUCAGCUUGUGUUGAUUACGUCCCUGCCCUUUGUACACACCGCCCGUCGCUACUACCGAUUGAAUGGUUUAGUGAGAUCUUCGGAUUGGCGCCACUGCGGCUCAGCAAUGGGCUCGGUGGAUGCCGAAAAGUUGAUCAAACUUGAUCAUUUAGAGGAAGUAAAAGUCGUAACA